rnacentral:rRNA from 1 species
GAUGAACGCUGGCGGCAGGCCUAAUACAUGCAAGUCGAACGGUGUCUUCGGACAUAGUGGCGCACGGGUGCGUAACACGUAUGCAACCUACCUUACAUUGGGGGAUAGCCUUUCGAAAGGGAGAUUAAUACCGCAUAAGACAGUAGCUGGGCAUCCAGCAGCUGUUAAAGAUUUAUCGAUGUAAGCUGGGCAUGCAUCCAAUUAGCUAGUUGGUGAGGUAACGGCUCACCAAGGCAAUGAUUGGUAGGGGAACUGAGAGGUCAAUCCCCCACACUGGCACUGAGAUACGGGCCAGACUCCUACGGGAGGCAGCAGUAGGGAAUAUUGGGCAAUGGACGCAAGUCUGACCCAGCCAUGCCGCGUGCAGGAUGAAGGCGUUAUGCGUUGUAAACUGCUUUUAUACAGGAAGAAACGACUCUUGCGAGAGGCAUUGACGGUACUGUAUGAAUAAGCACCGGCUAACUCCGUGCCAGCCGCCGCAGUAA